rnacentral:tRNA from 2 species
GGGUAUGUAACCGAUCUAACCGGGAGAGCGCUUGAAUGGCAUUCAAGAGGUAGUCGGUUCGAUCCCGAUCGUCUCCACCA